GAUGAACGCUGGCGGCGUGCCUAAUACAUGCAAGUCGAGCGAAUGGAUUAAGAGCUUGCUCUUAUGAAGUUAGCGGCGGACGGGUGAGUAACACGUGGGUAACCUGCCCAUAAGACUGGGAUAACUCCGGGAAACCGGGGCUAAUACCGGAUAACAUUUUGAACCGCAUGGUUCGAAAUUGAAAGGCGGCUUCGGCUGUCACUUAUGGAUGGACCCGCAGCGCAUUAGCUAGUUGGUGAGGUAACGGCUCACCAAGGCGACGAUGCGUAGCCGACCUGAGAGGGUGAUCGGCCACACUGGGACUGAGACACGGCCCAGACUCCUACGGGAGGCAGCAGUAGGGAAUCUUCCGCAAUGGACGAAAGUCUGACGGAGCAACGCCGCGUGAGUGAUGAAGGCUUUCGGGUCGUAAAACUCUGUUGUUAGGGAAGAACAAGUGCUAGUUGAAUAAGCUGGCACCUUGACGGUACCUAACCAGAAAGCCACGGCUAACUACGUGCCAGCCGCCGCCGUAA
rnacentral:rRNA from 1 species